UACGGAGGAUGCAAGCGUUAUCCGGAAUGAUUGGGCGUAAAGCGUCCGCAGGUGGCUGUGUAAGUCUGCUGUUAAAUAGUGAGGCUCAACCUCAUAAAGGCAGUGGAAACUACACGGCUAGAGUGCGUUCGGGGCAGAGGGAAUUCCUGGUGUAGCGGUGAAAUGCGUAGAGAUCAGGAAGAACACCGGUGGCGAAGGCGGCCUGCUGGGCAGUUUAGCUGACACUGAGGCGCGACAGCGUGGGGAGCAAACAGG
rnacentral:rRNA from 1 species